AACGAACGCUGGCGGCAUGCCUAACGCAUGCAAGUCGAACGAAAACCUUCGGGGUCUAGUGGCGCCCGGGUGCGUAACGCGUGGGAAUCUGCGCUUAGGUUCGGCAUAACAGUUAGAAAUGACUGCUAAUACCGGAUGAUGACGUUAAGUACAAAGAUGUAUUGCCUGGGGAUGGGCGCUCGUAGGCUUAGCUAGUGGGUGUGGUAACGGCGCAUCAAGGCGACGUUGCUGAGCUGGUCUGCUAGGCUGAUCAGCCACACUGGGACUGAGACACGGCCCAGACUCCUACGCGACGCAGCAGUAGGGAAUAUUGUACAAGGGGCGCAAGCCUGAUACAGCAAUGCCGCGUGAGUGAUGAAGGCCGUAGGGUUGUAAAGCUCUUUUACCCGGGAUGAUAAUGACAGUACCGGGUGAAGAAGCCCCGGCUAACUCCGUG
rnacentral:rRNA from 1 species